rnacentral:rRNA from 1 species
ACGGGGGGAGCAAGCGUUGUUCGGAUUUACUGGGCGUAAAGGGCGCGUAGGCGGCCAGCGCAAGUCGGUUGUGAAAUCUCCGGGCUUAACUCGGAAAGGUCAACUGAUACUGUCGGACUAGAGUACAGAAGGGGCAACUGGAAUUCUCGGUGUAGCGGUGAAAUGCGUAGAUAUCGAGAGGAACACCUGCGGCGAAGGCGGGUUGCUGGGCCGACACUGACGCUGAGGCGCGAAAGCUAGGGGAGCGAACGGGA